UGAUAGCUCAGUCGGUAGAGCAGAGGACUGAAAAUCCUCGUGUCGGUGGUUCGAUUCCGCCUCA
rnacentral:tRNA from 1 species